UGUCCCCGUGGAGUCCAGUAUGCACAUUUGGAAGCCCGUAGCGUAGGAAUUUGCGGCCCGGGUAAGCCCAAUUUCCCUGUGGAUCCGCGCCCGACCUACAGACAUCGGGGAGAACUCCCCGUCCCGCACUCGUCGCUUCGCUCCUCUCGCACCGCGAGGUCAAGGGGGAGCGCCGCCGCCACCGCCGCCUGAUCUCCUCCGACGACCUCGCAACGGCAAGCUUCCCCUCCGCAUCAAAUCUUGCAAGAAGUCGCGGCUGGGGGAGCCCUACGGCGGCCUCGAUCUUGCAAGAAGUCGCGGCUGGGGGAGCCCUACGGCGGCCGGGAGGGACCUGACGUCGACCUCCGGGGCCACUUCGUAGAUCAUGGACUCUUGGGAUGAGGAAGUUAGGAGAUUCAUGUUAGAGGAAGAAGAAGAAGAAGAGGAUGAUGAAUUAUUUCUAGUUCUGGUCCCCGCACUUCAAUUGGCCAUGUAUGAUGAAAAAGAGCUAGAGAAGUAAAUGUACCUGUUCAUUUAUCUCCAUGAGCGCUUGCCGGAAAUAGUGCAUAGAAGGUUGAAGUUAUUUUGUGCCAGGAGUGAAGCAAAUGCAGAUUGAUGAAAGUUUGUUAUAGUGUUGCUCGUGACUUUGAAAUGACAGAUAGUAGUGCUUGAGUUCUUCCUAGUGUCUUAAUUUUGUUGUGGCCCUAUGAGUCUGUAGGGCUUGUGUACCCACUGGUUGAUGGAAGAGGGUUUAUCAUUAAACAGCUACCAGCAAUGAGACUUCUUCAGUGGCUGAUGUUCUUGCCUUGCAGAUGAAUUAGAGAAAUGAGAACAGUAGUGGUGCAGGAGCUCAAAUGCUCAACCUUCGUUGUCUAUUUGAUUUUCAUGAUGAACAGAUGAACGGUGCCUCUAUUUUCUUCUUGUGGACCUUAGUUGUCUAUUUGAGAGACGUGAUGUGGGCGC